AACGAACGCUGGCGGCGUGCUUAACACAUGCAAGUCGAACGGAAAGGCCCUGCUUUUGUGGGGUGCUCGAGUGGCGAACGGGUGAGUAACACGUGAGUAACCUGCCCUUGACUUUGGGAUAACUUCAGGAAACUGGGGCUAAUACCGGAUAGGAGCUCCUGCUGCAUGGUGGGGGUUGGAAAGUUUCGGCGGGUGGGGAUGGACUCGCGGCUUAUGAGCUUGUUGGUGGGGGAGUGGCUGACCAAGGCUUUGACGGGUAGCCGGCCGGAGAGGGUGACCGGCGACAAUGGGACUGAGAGACGGCCCAGACUCCUACGGGAGGCAGCAGUGGGGAAUAUUGUACAAUCGGAGCAAGCCUGAUGCAGCAACGCCGCGGGCGGGAUGACGGCCUUCGGGUUGUAAACCGCUGUCGCCUGUGACGACGCGUGAGUGACGGUAAUGGGUAAAUAAGCACCGGCUAACUACGUG
rnacentral:rRNA from 1 species